rnacentral:tRNA from 1 species
GCGGGGGUGGGAGAGCGGUCAAUGAAUAGAGCAGUCGCGUUAAGCGCCUGUUUGUUUCGACUUUAUCCGCUACCUUGAGGGGGUAGUCCCUUAGUGGGUUCGCGUGUUCAAAUCACGUCCUCCGCA